UUUGCCUACGGGGCGCAGCAGUGGGGAAUAUUGCACAAUGGGGGAAACCCUGAUGCAGCGACGCCGCGUGAAGGAAGAAGUAUUUCGGUAUGUAAACUUCUAUCAGCAGGGAAGAAAGUGACGGUACCUGACUAAGAAGCCCCGGCUAACUACGUGCCAGCAGCCGCGGUAAUACGUAGGGGGCAAGCGUUAUCCGGAUUUACUGGGUGUAAAGGGAGCGUAGGCGGCGAUGCAAGUCAGAAGUGAAAGCCCGGGGCUCAACUCCGGGACUGCUUUUGAAACCGUAUGGCU
rnacentral:rRNA from 1 species